rnacentral:misc_RNA from 1 species
AAAUGCAACAGAAAGGAGAUUCAGGUUUGAAUUGCCUAGUUCUCUCUCUGAGUUGAUGUGCUUAUAUCCAAAUGCAGAUGUGAAGAAAUUGGUUGGCUGCAUUGUAUCUUGUUUUUCGUUUUACUGAUUGCAUUGCAUUUUGGUUUUAGAUUUUGACAAGAAAUUGAUAAAUCAUACAACAGAGCUAUUUGUUUUUAUCACAAUGUUGACCACCUGAAAAAUGGCUACUUAGAUGAAGUGGGUUAAAGUAUUGAAAAUUAACAAAAGCUAUGUAGAAGCAAAUACGAGAAUAAUUAGAUGGUGUAUAUUUUUCUCAUGACUACUUGCAUGAACAUGGUAAAAUACUGCUGCAAACGCAUAUCUUACAACAAAUGGUACCAUGAUGUUUUGAUUUUAUGGUGCUAGACUUUCAUUGUGUGGACUGUGGAGUAAAAUAGUGUAAGUUCAAUUCUAAUUAAUUCCCCUACAAUUCUAAUUAAUUCCCACAUGCUUAAAUCAUUAUUAGGGUCCAGUGUUUAUUAGUAUUGUUUGACGUGUUAGGUUCUUAUUAGGCUACUCUAGCAUGGUCUCCUUUCCUUGAAUGAAUACACAUGGAGACCGGUUAACCAAAGUGUUAAGUUCCCAUUGUUGUGAAGCAUCUUGAGUAUAAUGAGCUGUCACACAGUUGCAGUUGACGAGUGUUUCUCUUUUUCCAUUUCCCCUUUCGCACACCCACCACACCAGGCAUCCCGCACAACCCCCACCCCCCUCCCUCUCCAACACCCACCAAACCCCUUCCCCUUUUUUCCCUGUACUUUCGUUGGAUUUUUUCUACUUACAAAUUUAAUACCACAUUCUCAUUCUCUUUCUUACUGGUGAUGCUGUGAUUAUUAAGCAGCGUAUGGAUAGGCGGGAGUAU